rnacentral:rRNA from 1 species
UACGAGGGGGGCGAGCGUUGUUCGGAAUUACUGGGCGUAAAGCGCGCGUAGGCGGAUCUGCAAGUCGGGGGUGAAAUCCCGAGGCUCAACCUCGGAACUGCCUUCGAUACUGCGGGUCUCGAGUCCGGGAGAGGUGAGUGGAAUUCCUAGUGUAGAGGUGAAAUUCGUAGAUAUUAGGAAGAACACCAGUGGCGAAGGCGGCUCACUGGCCCGGUACUGACGCUGAGGCGCGAAAGCGUGGGGAGCAAACAGG